rnacentral:rRNA from 1 species
AUUUGGGUCAAUGGGGGAAACCCUGAUCCAGCCAUCCCGCGUGUAUGAUGAAGGCCUUUGGGUUGUAAAGUACUUUUGGCAGAGAAGAAAAGGUAUCCCCUAAUACGGGAUACUGCUGACGGUAUCUGUAGAAUAAGCACCGGCUACCCACGUGUCCGCCACCGCGGUCAUACGUAGGGUGUGAGCGUUUACCGGAAUUCCUGGGCGUCAAGCGUGUGUAGGCGGUUCGGAAAGAAAGAUGUGAAAUCCCAGAGCUCAACCUUGGAACUGCAUUUUUAACUGCCGAGCUAGAGUAUGUCAGAGGGGGGUAGAAUUCCACGUGUAGCAGUGAAAUGCGUAGAUAUGUGGAGGAAUACCGAUGGCGAAGGCAGCCCCCUGAGAUAAAACUGACGCUCAGACACGAAAGCGUGAGGAGCAAACAGG